ACCCUUACAACCUGGAUUUCAACUUCAGCGUGCUAGCCCAGUUCCACAGCUUCUCCAUCAACAACCUUGGCGACCCUUUCAUCGAGAGCAACUACGGUAUGCACUCAAGGCAGUUUGAGGUCACCGUGCUAGACUAGUUUGCCUGCCUUUGGGAGCUCCAGCAACAUCAGUAUUGGGGCUACAUCACCAACUGCGGAACCGGCGGGAAUUUGCACGGCCUACUAGUCGGGAGAGAACUUUUUCCCGAUGGAAUUAUAUAUGCGUCUCGCGAGUCACAUUACUCUGUCUUUAAGGCAGCUAGGAUGUACAAGGUCGAGUGCGUCAAGAUCGGCACUCUAGUCACAGGAGAGAUGAACUGUGCAAUAUUGGGACAAUUGUGAAGGGAGCAAUUGAUGAUCUUGACAGGAUCCUAAGCAUUCUUGAGGAAUGUGGGUUUCGAGACCGGUUUUAUAUCCACUGUGACGGUGCUCUGGCCG